GACACUAUGGCCGAGUUGGUCUAAGGCGUCAGAUUCGAAAUCUGAUCUUCUCUGAAGGCGUAGGUUCAAAUCCUACUGGUGUCG